rnacentral:rRNA from 1 species
GGUGCGUAACGCGUAUGUAACCUACCUAUAACAGGGGCAUAACACUGAGAAAUUGGUACUAAUUCCCCAUAAUAUUCGGAGAGGCAUCUCUCCGGGUUGAAAACUCCGGUGGUUAUAGAUGGACAUGCGUUGUAUUAGCUAGUUGGUGAGGUAACGGCUCACCAAGGCAACGAUACAUAGGGGGACUGAGAGGUUAACCCCCCACACUGGUACUGAGACACGGAUCAGACUCCUACGGGAGGCAGCAGUGAGGAAUAUUGGUCAAUGGACGCAAGUCUGAACCAGCCAUGCCGCGUGCAGGAAGACGGCUCUAUGAGUUGUAAACUGCUUUUGUACGAGGGUAAACUCACCUACGUGUAGGUGACUGAAAGUAUCGUACGAAUAAGGAUCGGCUAACUCCGUGCCAGCAGCCGCGGUAAUACGGAGGAUUCAAGCGUUAUCCGGAUUUAUUGGGUUUAAAGGGUGCGUAGGCGGUUUGAUAAGUUAGAGGUGAAAUCCCGGGGCUUAACUCCGGAACUGCCUCUAAUACUGUUAGACUAGAGAGUAGUUGCGGUAGGCGGAAUGUAUGGUGUAGCGGUGAAAUGCUUAGAGAUCAUACAGAACACCGAUUGCGAAGG